rnacentral:rRNA from 1 species
AACGAACGCUGGCGGCAUGCCUAACACAUGCAAGUCGAACGAGACCUUCGGGUCUAGUGGCGCACGGGUGCGUAACGCGUGGGAACCUGCCCUUAGGUUCGGAAUAACUCCCCGAAAGGGGUGCUAAUACCGGAUAAUUUCUUCGGACCAAAGAUUUAUCGCCUUUGGAUGGGCCCGCGUUGGAUUAGCUAGUUGGUAGGGUAAAAGCCUACCAAGGCGACGAUCCAUAGCUGGUCUGAGAGGAUGAUCAGCCACACUGGGACUGAGACACGGCCCAGACUCCUACGGGAGGCAGCAGUGGGGAAUAUUGGAAAAUGGGCGAAAGCCUGAUCCAGCAAUGCCGCGUGAGUGAUGAAGGCCUUAGGGUUGUAAAGCUCUUUUACCCGGGAUGAUAAUGACAGUACCGGGAGAAUAAGCUCCGGCUAACUCCGUG